AUUGAACGCUGGCGGCAUGCCUUACACAUGCAAGUCGAACGGCAGCACGGGUGCUUGCACCUGGUGGCGAGUGGCGAACGGGUGAGUAAUAUAUCGGAACGUGCCCGGUCGUGGGGAUAACGUAGCGAAAGCUACGCUAAUACCGCAUACGAUCUACGGAUGAAAGCGGGGGAUCGCAAGACCUCGCGCGAUUGGAGCGGCCGAUAUCAGAUUAGGUAGUUGGUGAGGUAAAGGCUCACCAAGCCGACGAUCUGUAGCUGGUCUGAGAGGACGACCAGCCACACUGGGACUGAGACACGGCCCAGACUCCUACGGGAGGCAGCAGUGGGGAAUUUUGGACAAUGGGCGCAAGCCUGAUCCAGCAAUGCCGCGUGCAGGAUGAAGGCCUU
rnacentral:rRNA from 1 species